rnacentral:rRNA from 1 species
AUUGAACGCUGGCGGCAGGCUUAACACAUGCAAGUCGAACGGUAACAUAAAGGAGCUUGCUUCUUUGAUGACGAGUGGCGGACGGGUGAGUAAUGCUUGGGAAUCUAGCUUAUGGAGGGGGAUAACUACGGGAAACUGUAGCUAAUACCGCGUAGAAUCGGGAGAUGAAAGUGUGGGACCUUCGGGCCCCAUGCCUUAGGAUGAGCCCAAGUGGGAUUAGGUAGUUGGUGAGGUAAAGGCCCACCAAGCCGACGAUCUCUAGCUGGUCUGAGAGGAUGACCAGCCACACUGGGACUGAGACACGGCCCAGACUCCUACGGGAGGCAGCAGUGGGGAAUAUUGCGCAAUGGGGGCAACCCUGACGCAGCCAUGCCGCGUGAAUGAAGAAGGCCUUCGGGUUGUAAAGUUCUUUCGGUAGCGAGGAAGGCAUUUAGUUUAAUAGACUAGGUGAUUGACGUUAACUACAGAAGAAGCACCGGCUAACUCCG